AGCACAUUAGCAUGUUCGGUCACCUCUCCAAGUAAUACUUUAUACUGCCCUGGGACUCUGUAGAGAGUCCCUACCAGCAAGAAGGCUCUCACCAGAUGUGGCCCCUCGACCUUGGAUGUAGCCUCCAGAAUUACUCUAGAAGUAAGGAACCAAGCGCCUCACUGGUGGUGUGGAAGAACUGGGAUUCCCCACAGUGCAGUGGAAAUUCCUGGGAGUCUCGAACCACAUAUUUUCCAUCGACUACAUCCAAAGCUCUGCAAAGAACGGAACCACAGUCAUGUCAAUACACUAUGAACAAUGCCAAAAUCUCAAGAAACCCAAAGGCAUAUUUCUCCAUGUAUUAAUAUAUUUCCAGUCAGCCCAAAUAAUGAAUCAUUCUUCAAAACCUACACGGCGUUGUAGAUAAUUUGGCGCUCUCAUAGCACAUUUAUAAAUAAACCUGGAUGACUUCACCCUGUGCCUAACUGAAUUCUUUUAAAUCCUAUGCAGAAAACAAAUUAGAGAUAGAUAGAGGUAGACAGAAACUAGAUGGAGAGACAGAUUUUGGCAUGAAAGUAAUCCAAUUUCAUUUUCCAGUUUCCUGGUUGUUCUAUGUCGUGGCUUUUAAGAAAUAACAAAAAGAAAUUUGUAAGUUUCCUGAACACUGGAAAUAAAGUGGGAACUGAAUCCCAGUUAGAGAAACAAUCUAGACUAUGCCAGGAAAUGGGAACUGUUCCUAGGAUUAUAAUAUUUAUCAGAUUCAAAAGGAAUGGAAACUAAUAAAGGCAGAAAGAAUGUUUUACAGACUCUGAUGGUUGCCUACCCCAAAGCCAUUCCCUUUAUCCAACCCUUCACUGUUCUCCCACCUCCCCCAUACACACUGCCUUUGCUAAUAAUCCUAAAUUUGUUCAGCAAUUCAUCCUCCAUAUGCCUCAGAGAAAGCUGCUCCCAGCCCCAGUAGUCAGUCGGGAUUGCUCUAACCCUGGUGUCCAGUUUCCCUCACCAGUAACUGAUUUAGGCAAAUGCCCAUAUGUAACUGUCUUGCUUAUGUUACCACAUUGAUUGAUGUCUCCCUGACCCUCUAAAAUGUUCAUACUUUGCCCUGCUUCUCUGGCCCAGUCCUGACCAAUGGGAUGUGAGAGGCGUCUGCUGAAGAAAUGGGGGAAAAGGUCUUCUACAAGAAGAGAAAGUUUCCCUUUCCUGCAGGCCAGUGUCAUGCCUGCAUGUGAUGAAUAUGAUAGAACAUCUUGGGACCAUGUGCAGGAUUAGCCUAAGGAGACUAGAUUGAGGAAAAAGCAGAGAGGAAAUACCUAUCUCUUGAUUUCUUGAAAUGAGAAGCAGAAUUACCUAUCUCUGGAGUUCUUGUUGUGUUAGAUAAUAAACGUCCUAUUCUUC
rnacentral:lncRNA from 1 species